CUCUCUUGACGAAUGAAACGCCCAUCUUCCAUGGGGAGCACCUCUACCGACUGAGGAAACCAAGCAGCAGCCUCUCCUCCUUGAAGUGGCUGGCGACACCUUUCCGGUGUCGCGCACAGGCAUUGCCCACUUAGCUGACCAUGCAAACAAACGCAAAGCACUUGCUGAGCCCGUGUUUCGAUGAUGAAAGUGGCGCCGGUGUACCGAAAGGUACUGAAGCAGCUGCACAAGGCCUGCUACACCCGUCCACACUAUGUGCAGGACAUCCGGUUUCUUCUCUCUUUCCCUCUUCACACAACAGGCAGUGAACCGAGCACAGCGGUGCCAGGCACAACGUCCUCCUCGCGUACGGUGAACCCAGCAGCGACUCCGGGCACGACCCCAGCUGAUGCGUCGAAAUCGCCAAAGUCGUCUUCGGGGAAGACGACAAGCCGCGAUCCCGUCGCGGGGCACCUCCUGCGGCCGAGUUCCGAAUGCUACCCUAUUGACACAACCACGCUCUUUGCGAUGUGCUAUACCGACUUACACAACGCAGUGCAAGAAUCGGCGCCGGUGGCAGCCGGCAUGAACCCGGUAGCCAUGCAGAUUGUGCGGUACCGCAACCUUCUGUGGCUUCAGGAACGGCUCGGGCGCGUCCUUAGUAGCAAGACCCAGCAGCUGCUGGCUACCUCACUGAGCAUCUCCAGGGGGCCAGCCGAACAUGACUUCAUUCCAGACGAAUACUUUGAGAGCAAGUCGCAGAACAACGGGAGUGCCCACCUCUCCGCGACGACGGCUUCUCAGCAGGCAGAGGCAGCAGCCACGGCCGCAACGUCGACACGGUCUACUUCAGGUAAGGCAUCCAAGGAGGCUACGGAAUCUUUCGCACCCGCCACCACUGACGGCGGCUUGGCGGAAGUGGUGGAGGAGAGCGACCCAGACAUCGUCUACUCCGCCGGCGCCAUUGGCCAGCAGCAAGAAAUGUUUGUCCUUCGCCACCGUGAGUCUUUCCCAAUGGCAGAGCAGUUUUUAGCCGGGUUUCCCACCGUCACAGCAGCCGAACUGGCUACGUGCGCGUAUCAGCGAGCGGCAUUGACACAGCUGGUGCGGCAGAAGUUCCCGACAACGCUGACGUGCCAGGACGCGAAUGUAAGUCUCUCUGUUUCUUUAGAGCCGUACGAUGUGCAGUACACAAGCAAGGAGCACGCUGGCAUGGGAUACUUCGCAGCCGCACACCGACAGUUUCGCGUCCGGUUCUCGCUUGCGCCUCUGUCGCCGGAGGGGUCAGGGGCGGAGCGAAUCGAGGUGCUCGUCGUGAACUCGUACUUUGUGCGACUGGACAUGGAGCUGAUGCAGCUGGUCGAGGAGGUGGGCUAUCUCCACAGCAGCGACGUCCUUCGCAUGCUGCGCGAGCGCGAUUACGGCGAUCAUUUUAGCGAGCUAAUCGGCAGCGGAGUUGCCGAGGUGCUCGGUGAGGGAGUCUUUGCAGGGCCAAACGAAGGAAAAGGUGCGGUUGCGGCGACCUCGGCAGACAAGCGCACCGGCAUCGAGUCCUCGGUGACCUCCCCCGCGCCGGCGACCGUCGCUGAGGGCUCUCGAGUAUUCUCGCUCUACUUUGUGAAUCACAGCGACGCACCCAUGGUACUGAAGGGGUUGCUGUACUACAAGCUGGGCAAGCGUCGCAACUUGGCCCAUGCACCCAUUCAGUGCAUUCCGUUUGGUUUUCUCCUGAUGGAGGCGUAAACCGGUGGAGAGUCGAGAACGACGGCCGCGGCGAAGGGAGCUCGUGUCCACUAGCGAGGGCGGGAACGCUUCGGCUCGCCACCUGGAGCAACGAAAGAAACCCAGACGCGAGAGAGGAACCGUGGGCGGAGAAGCGCAUGGCUGUUGAACGUCCCCCAUGCACUUCGCACACCAUCACGAAGACUGGAGCUCACCGUUUGGCGCCGAACAGCACUGCUUGAGUGCCUGUUUCCCCUUCCCUUUCCCGACUAGAUUGGAACGGUCUAUAGCUAUAU
rnacentral:misc_RNA from 1 species